GGGCCCGCACAAGCGGUGGAGUAUGUGGUUUAAUUCGAUGCAACGCGAAGAACCUUACCAGGGUUUGACAUCCUGCGAAUCUCUUGGAAACGAGAGAGUGCCUUCGGGAGCGCAGUGACAGGUGGUGCAUGGCUGUCGUCAGCUCGUGUCGUGAGAUGUUGGGUUAAGUCCCGCAACGAGCGCAACCCUUGUCCUUAGUUGCCAGCACUUCGGGUGGGAACUCUAAGGAGACUGCCGGUGCAAACCGAGAGGAAGGUGGGGAUGACGUCAAAUCAUCACGGCCCUUACGUUCUGGGCUACACACGUACUACAAUGCUACGGACAAAGGGCUGCAAGUUCGCGAGGACAAGCAAAUCUCAUAAACCGUGGCUCAGUUCAGAUCGUAGGCUGCAACUCGCCUACGUGAAGGAGGAAUCGCUAGUAAUCGCAGGUC
rnacentral:rRNA from 1 species